UACAGAUGAACCGAAAGCCUGGUUCGUUAGUUUUCGAUUUGAAUUUGUGCUGGGCGGAGACAAGUGGGACGUGUACGAGCAUAAAUGCUGUCUCAGGGUUCACUCCUCUUCUUCGCUGUACAGUGACAGAUCAGCAGGAUCGACUCCGGCUGCUGGGGGUAAGAAGAGGCCAGAGACCAAUCCCUGAGGAGAGAUCUUUAAAAACAAAAAGAUUUUAAAAUGGGACAAGGAAGAAAUAGCAAAAAUCAUAGAACCCAGAUUUGGAGAAGGUUUCGUGAGUUGUUCCUGGCAGUCAGUGUCUCUGCUUUUUUGGAUCGCUGCAUUGAAGAGAAAUAUGGAAAGCCAAAGCUGUCUUCAUGAUUGACACAGUUGAAACCCGAGGCACACAAUAUGUGAGACUGUAUCCCACACACUAAACUCAAGAAAGCAGAGGGAAAGAUUGAGAGUGGGAAGCACAUGCUAAUAAGGGCGAUUGUUCAGUGCGCCAGAGUAGUGAGGGUGGAAGGUUAGAAGGACAAAUGCUGCUGAGGAGAGACUGAAGAACACAAAAAAAGCAGCCCCUAGCUGAAAUGUGCCACUCAGGAUCACAGCUGAGACAAUGCAGCACAUUAACCAGGCCCAUCAAUAAUGGCACUGAACAUCUGAACAACCCUCAUCUGAAAGUUUACAUAGAGCUUAAAUUGCCCUUGAACUAAGUGGCUUCCUAGGACAUUGGAGAGAGCAGUUAAGUGUCAUCCACAUUGCUGUGGGUCUGGAGUCACAUGCAGACCAGCCCAGGUAAUGACAACAGAUUUCCUUCCCUAAAGGACAUUAGUGAACCAGAUGGGUUUUUAUGAAAAUCAAGUGAUGGUUCCAAUUCCAACUCAAUUCUGGAGUUUAUUAAUUAAUUGAAUUUAAAUCCCACCAGCUGAAUAUGUGUGUGUGUGUGUGGGAUACAUUCCAGCAUACGAUAGUGGACUCGGUUUCUGUAUUCAUUCUCCUUUCAUUUGCAUUUUAAACUCUCCCUGUUUCCACAUUCUGUUCACAACCAUUUCUGUUGUCUUGUUCUUUGUGAUUAUGAUGCACUGUGUAUUAAUAAUCCCAAAUGGCUGGAUUUUAUAAAAUGAAAUUUCAGCCGGAGACUCACCAAUUGAUGCGACUCCAGGAUUAUUCACACUCUAUCAAGAAUCACUGCAGUUCUGGUGUACUUGCGGCCUGAUCCCAGAGUCCGGGGAUGUGAUCUGAAGCAAAGAGGAAUGAGCCUCACUACUGGGGUUGAAAGUUGCCCUGUCAUUGGAUGUAAAACAAGGGCAAUGUAUACCAAUACCUGGUCAUGAGGUUCUGCACAAAAUGGCCAUCACCAUAUAUCAGUGCUCACUGUUUGUACACUGGCUGAAAUCAGUGUGGCAUCACAUGCCCCUGAUUCAAUACCCUCCUGCAGAAUCUGUAAUGAAUGAUGUGUAGUACAUGUGGCGCAAAGUUUAAAAGGCACAGGGCCCAGGAGAUUUGUUCUGUUUCAGGACAAAAUGAAAGUUGGAGCGCAACAUACACUGGCUGUACAUCUCAGACACUGUGCAAGCAAAUUUCUUUUUUUAAUGACUUAGUCACUUCUCAUCGAUGUGUCAAUGCAAAAGAAAACCAAAUAAAGCUCACAUUUUUCUGAA